GGAAGCAGGAGAAGCUGCAGUUUCAGCGGGAUUCAGUCUAGGAGGCCCUCCUGGAAGAGGACGUGUCAGUUCUUCCAAGUUUGCAGCAUGAUCCCAUUGCUUCUGUCCCUGCUGGCAGCUCUGGUCCUGACCCAAGCCCCUGCAGCCCUCGCUGAUGACCUGAAAGAAGACAGCUCAGAGGAUCGAGCCUUUCGGGUGCGCAUCGGUGCCGCGCAGCUGCGGGGUGUGCUGGGCGGUGCCCUGGCCAUCCCAUGCCACGUCCACCACCUGAGGCCGCCGCCCAGCCGCCGGGCCGCGCCGGGCUUUCCCCGAGUCAAAUGGACCUUCCUGUCCGGGGACCGGGAGGUGGAGGUGCUGGUGGCGCGCGGGCUGCGCGUCAAGGUAAACGAAGCCUAUCGGUUCCGCGUGGCGCUGCCUG
rnacentral:lncRNA from 1 species